AUUGAACGCUGGCGGCAUGCUUUACACAUGCAAGUCGAACGGUAACAGGUUAAGCUGACGAGUGGCGAACGGGUGAGUAAUGCAUCGGAACGUGCCCGGUCGUGGGGGAUAACGCAGCGAAAGCUGCGCUAAUACCGCAUACGAUCUGAGGAUGAAAGCGGGGGACCGUAAGGCCUCGCGCGAUCGGAGCGGCCGAUGUCAGAUUAGGUAGUUGGUGGGGUAAAGGCCUACCAAGCCGACGAUCUGUAGCUGGUCUGAGAGGACGACCAGCCACACUGGGACUGAGACACGGCCCAGACUCCUACGGGAGGCAGCAGUGGGGAAUUUUGGACAAUGGGCGCAAGCCUGAUCCAGCAAUGCCGCGUGCAGGAAGAAGGCCUUCGGGUUGUAAACUGCUUUUGUACGGAGCGAAAAGGCUCUCUCUAAUACAGGGGGUUCAUGACGGUACCGUAAGAAUAAGCCACGGCUAACUACGUGCCAGCCGCCGCCGUAAUAC
rnacentral:rRNA from 1 species